rnacentral:lncRNA from 1 species
CUGCGAUGUCGAUCUUACUGUGUGCAUAAUUUUAUUAUGAACUAGUGUCGGGAGCUGCCCUGGAUGCAGAUGCCUUUAGGUCCUGAUGCACAGGGUUCUGGACAAUGCUUGCCUUCAGUCGGGCCCGGUAGUGCCAGGUCGAGGUAACUUGGGCGUCACCCCAGCUCGGAUAACAAGGCAUGGCUCCAGGAAUAGGUGUCACCUGCUGGGGCUGAGCCACACUCACCUGUUCCUUUGUAACCCCACCCCUUUUCCCUUUUUGGGAUAGAAUGUUCAUGGAACCUCCCUUGGGUGUCCCCUAUAUGAUAAUAAGGAAUUCCGUGGCUCUCUUUCCACCGACCCUUGAGGUCAGAGAGCUGUCUCUGAUUUUGAAAAGGUACAUCUGUGUGGUUGCGUGACUUCCUGGUGGUUUUCUGACGUUGCUGGAGUGGUCAGAUGUUGAGAACCAGCGUUAGGUCGCCAGCUAGGAGAGAUGGCGAAAAACUAGGUUAAAACCACAACGGGAUCUGAAGGUUCUAGAAGUGGCUUUCAUGGCAUCCUGCCACGGGGUGUGAGUGGGUCGAGGAUGAGGCUGUGUCAUCGGCCUGGGUACCCGGCCUGGCACGGCCCUGGAGAGUGGGUGUUCAGGAGGUGUUACAUACAGGCGUGGUCCACACACCAAGGGAGCAUGGCACCCCUGGGAAGCUCUUCCUCCGUCACCAGCACGAGUCCUGACAGCCAGGCCCCGCGUGGUGAGGUGGUGGACCUUUGAGGGGUGGGGCCUCGUGGAAGGGCUGAGGUCCCUGGUAGGUGGUGGGUCCCAGCCCCUUCCUCUCUUGCACCUCCCAAGUCUCAGGAGCAGCUUGGCUUCUCCAUGAGCAGCUGCCAUGACCUGCAGCCUCCCCAUGGCCCACGGCACCAGGGCCACGCCUCGCGGACCAAAACGUCCCACGGAAUCCUUUGUCUCAGUGGAUCGUCUUCGGUGUUUGCUGUAGUGGGGAGGCUGACUCAGGGUCACGGUUCUUCCCAGCCUCAGAGGACAGCCCCCAGGAGUGGUCCUGGUGACGUGGAGCUUCGAAUCUGCCCCUUUCCUGCUCUUCCUACCCCCAGGUCUCUCUUUGCUGAAGGACACCUUCUGAGUCCCCCUGGAGGGGUCUGUGCUGCACACUGCCUCGGUGCUUCCUGCGCUGCUGCAGCGUGGCCGGGAGCGGACUUCCCAGCAGUCGGUGCCACCGGGGGUCUGCAGCCAGGCCCAGGGACGUCCCUCCGGGUGGCGCCUGUCCUGGCCCCCUCGCCAGCCCCGCAUCCUCUGUUCCCAACAGG